GACGAACGCUGGCGGCGUGCUUAACACAUGCAAGUCGAACGGGCCCGCCCCUGUUUUUGGGGGUGGGUUGAGUGGCGAACGGGUGAGUAUCACGUGAGUAACCUGCCCCCUGCUCCUGGAUAACUGCUUGAAAGGGCGGCUAAUACGGGGUGUGCCGGCUGGUCCGCAUGGGCCUGGUCGGGAUAGUUUCAUCUUCGGGUGUUUCGGUGGGGGAUGGGCUCGCGGCCUAUCAGCUUGUUGGUGGGGGGAUGGCCCACCAAGGCGGUGACGGGUAGCCGGCCUGAGAGGGUGGGCGGCCACACUGGGACUGAGACACGGCCCAGACUCCUGCGGGAGGCAGCGGUGGGGGGUAUUGCACAAUGGGCGGAAGCCUGAUGCAGCGACGUCGCGUGAGGGAUGGAGGCCUUCGGGUUGUGAACCUCUUUCUCCGGUGGUGAAGGCCCUGUCCGUUGCGGCGGGGUUGACGGUAGCCGGGUAUGAAGCGCCGGCUAACUACGUG
rnacentral:rRNA from 1 species